GAAAAAGACACGCUAAGAACUGCUAAUUCUUCUUGCUCCAUAUAUAAAACUAUGGCUUUUUU
rnacentral:tRNA from 1 species